UGGGUAGUCCGUACGAGCGCACCUUGUCCCUAGUUGCCAGCACUUCGGGUGGGAACUCUAGGGAGACUGCCGGUGAUAAACCGGAGGAAGGUGGGGAUGACGUCAAGUCAUCAUGGCCCUUAUGGGGAGGGCUACACACGUGCUACAAUGGCCGGUACAGAGGGCGGCGAAGCCGCGAGGUGGAGCGAAUCUCAGAAAACCGGUCGUAGUCCGGAUUGCAGUCUGCAACUCGACUGCAUGAAGCCGGAAUCGCUAGUAAUCGCGGAUCAGAACGCCGCGGUGAAUACGUUCCCGGGCCUUGUACACACCGCCCGUCACACCAUGGGAGUGGGCUGUACCAGAAGUAGGUGGUCUAACCUUCGGGAGGACGCUUACCACGGUGUGGUUCAUGACUGGGGUGAAGUCGUAACAAGGUAGCCCUAGGGGAACCUGGGGCUGGAUCACCUCCUUU
rnacentral:rRNA from 1 species